GAUGAACGCUGGCGGCAUGCUUAAUACAUGCAAGUCGAGCGGGAAGUGGUGUUUCUUGUUCCGAACGGGUGAGUAACGCGCAAGAACGUGCCCUUGGGAUGGGAACAACAACUGGAAACGGUUGCUAAUAGCCCGUAGGCUGAGGAGCAAAUGGUGUAAUCCGCCCAAGGAGGGGCUGGUGUCGGAUUAUUUAGUUGGUACGGUGAUAGCUUACCAAGGCGAUGAUCAGUAGUUGAACUGUGAGGGUGAUCAGCCACACAGGAACUGAGACGCGGUCCAGAGUCCGACGGGAGGCAGGAGGAGGGGAAGUUCGGGAAGGGGCUAAAGCUUGAGGGAGCAACGGGGAGUGAGUGAGAAACGUCUUCGGAACGUAAAACUAGGGUAUGAGGGGGGAACAGAUGCGGAGGCAACUGGGGAAGUAAGGACGGUAGAGGGUAAGAAAGAGACGGAGAACCACGUG
rnacentral:rRNA from 1 species